rnacentral:rRNA from 1 species
UACGUAGGUGGCAAGCGUUACUCGGAAUCACUAGGCGUAAAGCGCAGGUAGGAGGUUCGAUAAGUCUGUUGUGAAAGCUCCCGGCUUAACUGGGAGAGGUCAACGGAAACUGUCGAGCUAGAGUGCGGUAGAGGUAGCUGGAAUUCCCGGUGUAGCGGUGAAAUGCGUAGAUAUCGGGAGGAAUACCUAUGGCGAAAGCAGGCUACUGGACCGUCACUGACUCUGAUCUGCGAAAGCUAGGGGAGCGAACGGG